GACGAACGCUGGCGGCGUGCCUAACACAUGCAAGUCGAGCGAGUGGAUCUCCUUCGGGAGUGAAGCUAGCGGCGGACGGGUGAGUAACACGUGGGCAACCUGCCUCAUAGAGGGGAAUAGCCUUUCGAAAGGAAGAUUAAUACCGCAUAAGAUUGUAGCUUCGCAUGAAGUAGCAAUUAAAGGAGCAAUCCGCUAUGAGAUGGGCCCGCGGCGCAUUAGCUAGUUGGUGAGGUAACGGCUCACCAAGGCGACGAUGCGUAGCCGACCUGAGAGGGUGAUCGGCCACAUUGGGACUGAGACACGGCCCAGACUCCUACGGGAGGCAGCAGUGGGGAAUAUUGCACAAUGGGGGAAACCCUGAUGCAGCAACGCCGCGUGAGUGAUGACGGC
rnacentral:rRNA from 1 species